CCAGGUCACUACUCCGAGCUCCCACGACAAUCAAUCUUCGAUCGAGCUUCUACAAUAAGCGGCCUCCUUUCAGCCUUUUACAAGAAUCAAACUCCAUCCGAACUUCCAUAGCGGAUGGAUAUCGGACGAGCUUCUACAACAGACGGGCUCCAGCAGCUGGAUUUCUACAACGACCGAUCACCUCCGGUGUCUGCCGAAUCUCCCCAGCCAUCAGCCUUCAAUAGCAUCAGUCGGACUUCCACAAUGCCAUC
rnacentral:lncRNA from 1 species